rnacentral:rRNA from 1 species
UUGAACGCUGGCGGCAUGCCUUACACAUGCAAGUCGAACGGUAGAGGGGCAACCCUUGAGAGUGGCGAACGGGUGAGUAACACGUAGGUAACCUACCUUUUAGAUUGGGAUAACAGUUGGAAACGAUUGCUAAUACCAAAUGAUAUAUAGGAGGGGAACUUUCUAUAGUAAAAGGGUGCUUUAAAGCAUCGCUUUAAGAUGGGCCUGCGGUGUAUUAGCUAGUUGGUAGGGUAAUGGCCUACCAAGGCAACGAUGCAUAGCCG